ACGACCUUAUUUGAACAGGAUCUAUUCUAUAGGAUCGUACCUCUGUAUCCUUAAUCACUAAGGAGACAGGAACCUAAGCCUGGUUGAGGAACCAUGACCACGUGAUCAUAGAGUGAGUAAUGGCUAGAUGGCCCUCGUGAUCAUCUUGGCUGUAGAGGAUCGUUUCCUAGCCGCUAACCUGGCUGGGAAUGGUCACGCGGUUGUCUGACAGGCU
rfam:Populus trichocarpa scaffold_15_contig_159, whole genome shotgun sequence.